AGUCGAUUGUGAUCGCUUGAAUUUCGUGGUUUUCUGGGUUUUCUGUGCUUAUCAUUUUACCGGCUCUCGGAUAGAAGAACCUUGUGCUUGCUGUUUUUAAUCCUGACAGCUCAGAUAGGACGAAAAAGACCCUAUCUAAAGUAAUUUAAAGCAAAUCAAGUUGAAGUCUCUCCAGAGUGAGAGGAUUACGAUAGAAGAUCACUCCUGCAGAGCAAAGAUGUCGACUCUUCAGAUGAUGCGUCCCAAGCAGAGUCAGAUGACUGGCACGUGGUCGUCGGUGUUCCCCGUGGAGCAGGCCACGGCGCAGCAGUCGGCCCAGUUCGUCAAGAAGCUGCUGGCCGUGGCCGUCUCCAACCUGACCUACCUGCGCGCCAUCUUCCCGGAGCAGGCCUUCGGCGAGCGCACCCUCGACGGCCUCCAGCUCAAGGUGCUGCGGGACGACGCCGGCUGCCCGGGCGCCUGGCAGAUCACUCAGUGGAUCAAAGCCUGCUUCGACGCACUCGACAAAAAAUACCUGCGGCAGCUGACCGUGGUGCUGUACCUGGACCCGUCCGACCCGGACACCGUCAUCGAGUCCUACACGUUCCGCUUCACCUACUCGUCGUCCGGCGGCGUCAGCAUGCAGCACGGCUCCGACGGCGACGGGCAGCCGGCCUCGAUACCGGCGACCGUUACCAGCGAGGAGACCUACAAAGCCACCGUGCGAAUGCUGCGCACUAUCGUGGUGCUAACGCAGACGCUGCGGCCGCUGCCCGACGACGUCAUGAUGUCCAUGAAGCUGCUCUACUUUGACGAUGUGACGCCUCCCGACUACGAGCCGCCGGGCUUCCGGCCGGCCGAGACCCACCAGAUCUUCUUCAGCUCAGAGCCCAUCAACGUGCGCGUGGGCGACGUGUGCACUCCGCACCACACGGUCAAACUGCGCCUCAAGACCGACUCGAGUCAGUUCGUGCCGCAGGAGGGCGACGACGAGACCAUCGAACAUGCAACGGUGAAAACCGCUCCUUCGGUGGAGAGUGCAGUGCCUCAGGUGCGGGACCAGGAGCGCCCCUCCACCUCCAGCCAGCAGCGUCAGCCGAGGCCCAGGGAGCCGGCCGCCGCCGCGGAGCCGGAGCCCAGUCUGGCCGAGAGUGUGAGCGGCAGGAGCCCUGGUCUGCCCGCGUCAGCAGUAGACACCAGCGGCACCCCGGCCGCCGGAGCGGUGCCCGAAGCCGAGGACGAGCCACGCGUGCUGUGCGUGUGCGGCGUGCACGAGGACGACGGUCUGAUGGUGCUCUGUGAGCUCUGCCACAACUGGCAGCAUGGUAUCUGUUUCCUGGUGCUUAGUGAGGACGAGGCGCCGGCCAGCCACAUUUGUGACACGUGCGCUCUGGCCUCGGGACGACCGUGCACGGAUGCCCGGCUGCCGGCACUCGCCAGGUCCACACGCAUGGCCACCUGCCUGUACCGGCGCGGCCUGUGCGCCUGUGAGGAGAUGUCGCGCGUUCAGCCGGCCCGGCUGGCGCAGCGUCUCGGCGUGGACGUGGCCGUGGCCUCUGGUCUGAUGAGCCGACUGGACAAGGAUGGCCUGUUGAAGCCACUCUCCAACAGGUCCAAGGCACGGUCCGUGUGGUGGACAAGGAGCGACUGCUGAACGAGGCCUUCCCCCGCUACCUGAACCGGCCGGCCCCGGCCGCAGCGCACCGACCCGCCGGCGGACACCAGGCGGUGGACGAGGUGGCUGAGCGGGCCGGCAGGAUGGAACUGGACGGGCCGGAGGACGGCGACCACUCUCCGCCGGCCACCCCGCGCACCGGUCCCUCCGGGGACGGGCCCGAGCCGCG
rnacentral:misc_RNA from 1 species